CUGCCUGGUAGUGGGGGACGAACGUUUCGAAAGGAACGCUAAUACCGCCAUACGUCCUACGGGAGAAAGCAGGGACCUUCGGGCCUUGCGCUAUCAGAUGAGCCUAGGUCGGAUUAGCUAGUUGGUGAGGUAAUGGCUCACCAAGGCGACGAUCCGUAACUGGUCUGAGAGGAUGAUCAGUCACACUGGAACUGAGACACGGUCCAGACUCCUACGGGAGGCAGCAGCC
rnacentral:rRNA from 1 species